UNCGAACGGGUAACAGGAAGCAGCUUGCCUGCUUNGCUGACGAGUGGCGGACGGGUUGCAGUAAUGUCUGGGAAACUGCCUGAUGGAGGGGGAUAACUACUGGAAACGGUAGCUAAUACCGCAUAACGUCGCAAGACCAAANAGGGGGACCUUCGGGCCUCUUGCCAUCGGAUGUGCCCANAUGGGAUUANCUUGUNGGUGGGGUAACGGNUCACCUAGGCNACGAUCCCUAGCUGGUCUGAGAGGAUGACCANCCACACUGGAACUGANACACGGUCCAGACUCCUACGGGAGGCANCAGUGGGGAAUAUUGCACAAUGGGCGCAAGCCUGAUGCANCCAUGCCGCGUGUAUGAAGAAGGCCUUCGGGUUGUAAAGUACUUUCAGCGGGGAGGAAGGGAGUAAAGUUAAUACCUUUGCUCAUUGACGUUACCCGCAUAAGAAGCACCGGCUAACUCCGUGCCAGCAGCCNCGGUAAUACNGAGGGUGCAAGCGUUAAUCGGAAUUACUGGGCGUAAANCGCACNCAGGCGGNUUGUUAAGUCNGAUGUGAAAUCCCCGGGCUCAACCUGGGAACUGCAUCUGAUACUGGCAAGCUUGAG
rnacentral:rRNA from 1 species